rnacentral:rRNA from 1 species
GACGAACGCUGGCGGCGUGCUUAACACAUGCAAGUCGAACGGUAAGGCCCUUCGGGUACACGAGUGGCGAACGGGUGAGUAACACGUGGGUGAUCUGCCCUGCACUUCGGGAUAAGCCUGGGAAACUGGGUCUAAUACCGGAUAGGACUCCGGACUGCAUGGUCUGGGGUGGAAAGCUUUUGCGGUGUGGGAUGGGCCCGCGGCCUAUCAGCUUGUUGGUGGGGUGAUGGCCUACCAAGGCGACGACGGGUAGCCGGCCGGAGAGGGUGACCGGCCACACUGGGACGGAGAUACGGCCCGGACUCCUACGGGAGGCAGCAGUGGGGAAUAUUGCACAAUGGGCGCAAGCCUGAUGCAGCGACGCCGCGUGAGGGAUGACGGCCUUCGGGUUGUAAACCUCUUUCAGCAUCGACGAAGCGAAAGUGACGGUAGGUGCAGAAGAAGGACCGGCCAACUACGUGCCAGCCGCCGCAGUAA